rnacentral:rRNA from 1 species
AACCCUUGUCACUAGUUGCCAUCAGUUUAGUUGGGCACUCUAGUGAGACUGACCGGUGACAAACCGGAGGAAGGUGGGGAUGACGUCAAGUCCUCACUUGGCCCUUAUGGGUAGGGCUUCACACGUCAUACAAUGGUCGGUACAGAGGGUUGCCAAGCCGCGAGGUGGGCCAAUCCCUUAAAGCCGAUCGUAGUCCGGAUCGUAGUCUGCAACUCGACUACGUGAAGUCGGAAUCGCUAGUAAUCGCAGAUCAGCAUGCUGCGGUGAAUACGUUCCCGGGUCUU